rnacentral:tRNA from 3 species
GUGGGCGUAGCUCAGUCGGUCAGAGCGCCGGAUUGUGGUUCCGGAGGUCGCCGGUUCGAUCCCGGUCGCCCACC